rnacentral:lncRNA from 1 species
UAGAAAGUAGAUAAAAAACAGGAGCAAGUGAACAGCAAGGAAUCAACAGACAUCUGAUGUCUUGACCUGCUGCUGCCGCUGAAACAUGUGGUGAGCUAUGGAGGGCAUCUGGCCAGGCAGGAUGCUGGUUCAACUGGUGCUGAAAAAUCCAGGAGACCAUUGAAUCUGCAGGAAGAGACCAGAGUACAUAUUAGAGUUUAAGAAUCUUAAACUAUAAAGCAGCUUUAAGAUUCAUUGAAUUCCUGACAAAAUUAACAGGAAGCUUCCUUCACCAACCUUGAUAUCCUUGAAUUUUACAAUAUGUUGCUGUCCAGAAAUACUUUAAACAAACCCUACAUCUUCUCUAUACUAAGUAAAACUUUAUAUGCACUUUAAUAUUACAUCAACACCAACAAACCUCAGCACCACACCAACAUGUCACAUUCCCCAUUUCUUCCUCCUUAUGAUCAAUCUCUUCCACUUUAUAUCACUUCAUGGGUCCUCCUUCCCUUAUUUACAGAAAGAAAGCAACAAGCGCAGCGCGGGGAACAUAUCUAUACACCCGAGAUACUACGUUUCUUCCAUACCCACACCAGGAACUCCUUCAUUGCACCCACUAUCAUCUUUUUCUCUUUCCUUCUUCCCUCAAUAUAGACUUAGCACUGAAGACUUACCAUCAUCCAUUCCUAAUCUUCAAAUCUCUUCACCCUUCUAUUUUCUCUCUUCCUGUCUCCAAGUGCUUCAGCUACCUCCUCAUCCGACAUUCCUUUCAGUCUGGUUUUCCAUCUUAAUUUUCUUCACACCCAUGGACUGCUUGAUGUCACACUCCCAUUCACUUGCUGUCCUUCCUACCUCCUCACCUGGCAUGAUUUCUUCAUCUCUACAGUACUUCACCUAGUUGGCUUUCUUCAAGUUCCACUUUUCUUUGUGGCCUCCUCUACACUACAUCUCGGUCUUCCCAUAGGUAAUGCCUGUUGAGAAGUGGUCUGAAAUAUCUGUUCCUUCAUUUAUCCUACAUCCCUGUUGUUCUACCUGUUCAUUCACUAUCCAUUGCCAACUAACUUCUCCUAGGAUCAGCUGCCCAUAUUGGUUCACCAUCUCCAUUUAGAUCACCCAUUAUAAUCCAUUUGUUGCCCUUCUCUCACUUUCAAGAGAGCCAAUGUCUCAGCUUCCAGUUUUCCAUUCCCUAUACACUGUCACCCACCACUCUGUCCCAUGCACUGAUCUUCACUGUUAAGAUGUCACCCUGAGGGUUGAUUCACACUAUCGGUCUGGUCGCGCUCAGCUCUCGGUCCAGUCUAAUAUUGUCUCAUUAAUUUCAGUGGAAGCAUUCACACUGGCGCUCUUGCUCUGGUUCGCUCCGGUCACGGUUCCCUCAAAAGAUAUUUUUACUGGAGCGAGAGCGGACCGUGAGUGCCAGUGUGAAUUCAGUUGCCACGGUCUUGCACCUCCUGUUCCACUCCAGUCGAGAUUCAGCCUUCAUAUAAGCAAGUAGUGUUGCCUUUUUGUCCUACCAAACCAUGGAUAAUCCAAAGAAAACACCACAAAGGGAUCAUGAAAAAGAUGAAAUGCUAAUAGAAUUAGUCAAAGGUAAACCAGAGCUGUAUGACCUGACUUCGCUGCACUACAGUGACAAUGUGGCGAAAAGAAGCUGGGUCAAAAUAAGCAGGCAGUUGGGAUGUGAAGGUAAGAAAUUCCAUACAAUAGCCUAAUAUCCACUGUGGAAAUGCAUUUCCUCCUCACUAAACAAUUUUCUUAUACAAUAAUGUUUGCAUGCUUAACAUAUUGGCAAGGUAUUGAGAGAAAAUAAAAUACA